rnacentral:rRNA from 1 species
UACAGAGGUCUCAAGCGUUGUUCGGAUUCAUUGGGCGUAAAGGGUGCGCAGGCGGCGUGGAAAGUUGAGUGUGAAAUCCCGGGGCUUAACCCCGGAACUGCACUCAAUACUCCCAUGCUAGAGGAAUGUAGAGGAGAGUGGAAUUCACGGUGUAGCAGUGAAAUGCGUAGAUAUCGUGAGGAAGACCAGUUGCGAAGGCGACUCUCUGGGCAUUUCCUGACGCUCAGGCACGAAGGCCAGGGGAG